GCUGGGGAUGUUUCCUCGGUGGCCAAUUCUCUUAAGGGGUCUGGGAAUUCUGAACUCGACAUCUCGCAGUGCGCUUUCCUACUAAGCAAAAUUAAAACAAAGUGAAAACCUCUGGAGAAUGAAGGCACAAGUUUAACCCAUCCAGCUAAAAUAAGGAAUUAAAUAUUACAUUCUCAUGAAAGCAUCAUCACUUCUCUCUCCAUCCCUAAUACCCGCCCAUCACGCUCACUCUCUUCUAGCGAAAGCACUGUUACACGCUAGACUCUAUAUCUACAGUAACUCACUGUCGUCCAUUCUGCACUCAAAAUGACACAAGGUUGUUUUUAUAUUUAUUUCUGGAAUUAGGCUAAAAGGAUUAAAAACCAGUUGCACAGACAAGUUAUGCGGACUGGGCUUGUAAUUUUUUUAUGUAUUCAUUCACAGGACAUGGACUUUGCUGGCUGGGCCAGCAUUUACUUCCCAUCCUAACCGACCUUGAGGAGGUAGUGGUGAGCUGACGUCUUGAACUACUGCAGUCCAUUGUGGGUUUGAUUCAAGUGGGUGGCUUGCUGGGCCAUUUCAGAAAGCUGUUAACAGUCAACCACAUUGCCAUGGGUCUGAGACCAGAACAAAUGCAGAAAAUUAGAAACUCCGAGUAAGUGUUGGUGUACUGUUUGGGAACUGGUCCAGGUUGCUGGAUCACAAGUUACUCUUGUUUGCCUCCCUUCCGUUCUGAAAUAGGUGCAAUUGGCAAGAUCUCAUCCAUGGGCUCAACAUUGCUGACAAGGUCAGACAGAGGUUUCCUGGAUCCAAUUUUACCACUUGGGACCUACGACAGCAUGACUUUAACUCCCAACACAACUUGCCCUGGUAGUACUGAAAACAAAAAAUGCUAGAACUGACAGCGGGUCAAACAGCAUCCAUGGAGGGAAAGGCUGACCCUCUCUACAUUUCAUGUCAGUUCGACAAAGAGUCAUCUGGACUCGAAACAUUUAUUAAUUUAUUCCUGAAGAGGUUUUGUCUUAACAGUGCAUAUCUGUAUCAAUAAAAUAGUU